rnacentral:rRNA from 1 species
AUGGUGAAGAAGCCGUAUCCCUUCCACAAGCCCUUCAGCCCCCUCCGCCGCCUCCUCCGGCGAACCCUCUCCGGCCGGCACCACCGCCACUCAACGGCAAAAGGUCCAGCCGUACCACCAACGGAAAAGCUGCAGGGCCAGACGGUGAUAGUCGACGUGGAGGCGUGGCUCCUGAUGUCCCGGCUAUCCACCUUCCCUUACUUCAUGCUCGUCGCCAUCGAGGCGGGCGGCUUCCUCCGGGGCCUCCUUCUCCUGCUCACCUAUCCUCUCAUGUGCCUCUUCGGCCAUGACAUGCGCCUCAAGGCCAUGAUCAUGGUGUCCUUCUUCGGGCUGCGUGAGAAGGAGGUCCUUAGGGUUAGCAAGGCCGUCCUGCCAAAGCUCUUCUUGGAAGACGUGGCCGUCCAAGGGCUUGAGGCGGUGAAGAAGGCGAGGAUGGUGGUGGCGGUGAGCACGGUGUUUCCGAGGGUGAUGGUCGAGGGGUUCUUGAAGGAGUACCUCGGUGUCGACACUGUGGUUGGAAGGGAGGUCAUGGUGGUCGCCGGGCGCUAUGUCGGAGUUAUCGCAGAUGAUGCGCUGGCCGCGGAGGAGAUGAUGAACAAGGGCAAGCAUGAUGAAGGGGUUGGGCUUGUCGGAGUUGGCGGCAAGAUGCACCAUUUAUUUUCCCGUAAUUGCAAGGAAACCUAUGCUGUGAGCGAGGCCGACAAGGCGGCAUGGCAGGCAUUGCCGAGGGACAAGUACCCCAAGCCCCUUGUCUUCCACGACGGCCGCCUCGCCUUCGCGCCGACAUUCUCCGCCGCGAUCGCCAUGUACACGUACAUCCCCUUCGGCAUCUUCCUGGCCAUCGUCCGCAGCAUGGCAUACAGCCUCCUCCCCUACCGCAUCUCGGUCCCGAUCGGGGCCCUCACCGGCAUGCGCUCCCGCAUCAUCGCCGGCCCGCCCGCCGACGCCAUGGAUGAAAACAAGGCCGGCGGCCGCCUCUACGUGUGCAACCACCGCACCCUCCUGGACCCAAUCACCGUCGCGGCUGGGCUCCGCAAGCCCGUCACCGCGGUCACCUACAGCGUGAGCCCCGUCUCCGAGCUGAUGGCGCCCAUCCGCACGGCGCGGCUGACCCGGGACCGGGACGAGGACCGCCGGCGCAUGGCGGGGCUGCUGGCGCGCGGAAACCUUGUGGUGUGCCCCGAGGGGACGACCUGCCGGGAGCCCUACCUGCUCCGCUUCAGCCCGUUGUUCGCCGAGCUCGCCGCCGAGGUUACCCCCGUCGCGCUCGAGACGCGCGUGGAUAUGUUCUACGGCACGUCCACCAAGCCGGCGUCCAAAGUGCUCGACCCGCUCUACUUCAUGAUGAACCCGCGGCCGGAGUACCGCGUCGAAUUCCUGGAGCCGGUCGAUACCACGACCGUGGCCGACGGCGAGGAGGACGGCCACGGCCGCGACAAAAGCCACAGCAUCCACGUGGCGAACCGGGUGCAGCGUGUGCUGGGCGAGGCGCUUGCGUUCGACCUCACCGAGCAGACGAGGAAACACAAAUACAUGAUGCUCGCCGGGAACGAAGGCAUCGUCAAAGUGAAGGCCAACAAGUCGUAG